rnacentral:rRNA from 1 species
UACGUAGGGUGCGAGCGUUGUCCGGAAUUAUUGGGCGUAAAGGGCUCGUAGGCGGUUUGUCGCGUCGGGAGUGAAAACCAGGUGCUUAACACCUGGCUUGCUUUCGAUACGGGCAGACUAGAGGUAUUCAGGGGAGAACGGAAUUCCUGGUGUAGCGGUGAAAUGCGCAGAUAUCAGGAGGAACACCGGUGGCGAAGGCGGUUCUCUGGGAAUGACCUGACGUUGAGGAGCGAAAGCGUGGGGAGCGAACAGG